GACGAACGCUGGCGGCGUGCUUAACACAUGCAAGUCGAACGGAAAGGCUCCAGCUUGCUGGAGUACUCGAGUGGCGAACGGGUGAGUAACACGUGGGUAAUCUGCCCUGCACUCUGGGAUAAGCCUGGGAAACUGGUUCUAAUACUGGAUAUGACCUUUCUCCUUAUGGGGUUUGGUGGAAAGUUUUUCGGUGUAGGAUGAGCCCGCGGCCUAUCAGCUUGUUGGGGGGGUGAUGGCCUACCAAGGCGACGACGGGUAGCCGGCCUGAGAGGGUGAUCGGCCACAUUGGGACUGCGAUACGGCCCAGACUCCUACGGGAGGCAGCAGUGGGGAAUAUUGCACAAUGGGCGGAAGCCUGAUGCAGCGACGCCGCGUGAGGGAUGACGGCCUUCGGGUUGUAAACCUCUUUAAGCAGGGACGAAGCGUAAGUGACGGUACCUGCAGAAGAAGCACCGGCUAACUAUGUG
rnacentral:rRNA from 1 species